rnacentral:rRNA from 1 species
CCCUUAGAUGUUCUGGGCCGCACGCGCGCUACACUGACGAAUGCAACGAGCUUAUAACCUUGGCCGAAAGGUCUGGGUAAUCUCCAAAUUUCGUCGUGAUGGGGAUAGAUUAUUGCAAUUAUUAAUCUUCAACGAGGAAUGCCUAGUAAGCGCAAGCCAUCAGCUUGCGUUGAUUACGUCCCUGCCCUUUGUACACACCGCCCGUCGCUCCUACCGAUUGAAUGGUCCGGUGAAGCGUUCGGACCGUGGCCUUUGGACGGUUCGCCGUCUGUUGGCUGCGGGAAGUUCGUUAAACCUUAUCAUUUAGAGGAAGGAGAAGUCGUANCA